GAUGAACGCUAGCGGCAGGCCUAAUACAUGCAAGUCGAACGGUAACAUUGGUGCUUGCACCAGAUGACGAGUGGCGCACGGGUGCGUAACGCGUAUGCAACCUACCUUUUACUAGAGUAUAGCCCAGAGAAAUUUGGAUUAAUCCUCUAUAACAUCUUUUAAUUUCAUGAUUUUAAGAUUAAAGUUUUAACGGUAAAAGAUGGGCAUGCGUCCUAUUAGUUUGUAGGUGAGGUAACGGCUCACCUAGACUACGAUAGGUAGGGGCCCUGAGAGGGGGAUCCCCCACACUGGUACUGAGACACGGACCAGACUCCUACGGGAGGCAGCAGUAAGGAAUAUUGGACAAUGGACGAAAGUCUGAUCCAGCCAUGCCGCGUGCAGGAUGACAGCCCUACGGGUUGUAAACUGCUUUUAUACAGGAAGAAACACUCCGACGUGUCGGAGCUUGACGGUACUGUAAGAAUAAGGAUCGGCUAACUCCGUGCCAGCAGCCGCGGUAAUACGGAGGAUCCAAGCGUUAUCCGGAAUCAUUGGGUUUAAAGGGUCCGCAGGCUGUUUUUUAAGUCAGAGGUGAAAUCCUACAGCUCAACUGUAGAACUGCCUUUGAUACUGGAAAACUUGAGUUAUUGUGAAGUGGUUAGAAUGUGUGGUGUAGCGGUGAAAUGCAUAGAUAUCACACAGAAUACCGAUUGCGAAGGCAGAUCACUAACAAUAUACUGACGCUCAUGGACGAAAGCGUGGGGAGCGAACAGGAUUAGAUACCCUGGUAGUCCACGCCGUAAACGAUGGAUACUAGCUGUUCGUCUAACAUUGGUUAGAUGAGUGGCUAAGCGAAAGUGAUAAGUAUCCCACCUGGGGAGUACGGUCGCAAGACUGAAACUCAAAGGAAUUGACGGGGGCCCGCACAAGCGGUGGAGCAUGUGGUUUAAUUCGAUGAUACGCGAGGAACCUUACCAGGGCUUAAAUGUAGUGGGACAGGUCUAGAGAUAGACCCUUCUUCGGACUCAUUACAAGGUGCUGCAUGGUUGUCGUCAGCUCGUGCCGUGAGGUGUCAGGUUAAGUCCUAUAACGAGCGCAACCCCUAUCGUUAGUUGCCAGCGAGUAAUGUCGGGAACUCUAACGAAACUGCCAGUGCAAACUGUGAGGAAGGUGGGGAUGACGUCAAAUCAUCACGGCCCUUACGUCCUGGGCUACACACGUGCUACAAUGGCCGGUACAGAGAGCAGCCACUUCGCAAGAAGAGCGAAUCUAUUGAAACCGGUCUCAGUUCGGAUCGGAGUCUGCAACUCGACUCCGUAAAGCUGGAAUCGCUAGUAAUCGGAUAUCAGCCAUGAUCCGGUGAAUACGUUCCCGGGCCUUGUACACACCGCCCGUCAAGCCAUGGAAGCUGGGAGUGCCUGAAGUCGGUAACCGCAAGGAGCCGCCUAGGGUAAAACUAGUAACUGGGGCUAAGUCGUAACAAGGUAGCCGUACCGGAAGGUGCGGCUGGAACACCUCCUUUCUAGAGAAAGACGACUGAAUUUGAAGAAAUUCAACAAAAAAUGUGUUUUACUUAAGCUGUCCAUCUUAUUUUUAUAAUCUAUUCGUUAGAGUCUCGUAGCUCAGCUGGUUAGAGCGCUACACUGAUAAUGUAGAGGUCGGCAGUUCGAGCCUGCCCGAGACUACUUUUUGAUAGAUCAUUUAUGGAAAUUUAGAGGCUGGGAAACUUUUAUUUUUUUCCGUUCUAUUUUUUCAGAAUGGGGGAUUAGCUCAGCUGGCUAGAGCGCCUGCCUUGCACGCAGGAGGUCAUCGGUUCGACUCCGAUAUUCUCCACAAAGGUCUUUUUAAACCGCACGUUCAUUGACAUAUUGAAUUAUUUAAGAUACAUAAAAAUAAAAGGUAUAAAUUAUUAAUCGAGCCGAUUAAUAAUUUGUACGAGCAAAGUAAAAAUUACAAUUUUAAGAGAAAGUAAAGUUACGAUAGGCUAAUUAAGGGCGUAUGGGGAAUGCCUAGGCUCUCAGAGGCGAAGAAGGACGUGAUAAGCUGCGAAAAGUUACGGGGAAUGGCACACACAUUUUGAUCCGUAAAUAU
rnacentral:rRNA from 1 species